GAGUUUGAUCUUGGCUCAGGAUGAACGCUGGCGGCGUGCCUAAUACAUGCAAGUCGAGCGAACAGACGAGGAGCUUGCUCCUCUGACGUUAGCGGCGGACGGGUGAGUAACACGUGGAUAACCUACCUAUAAGACUGGGAUAACUUCGGGAAACCGGAGCUAAUACCGGAUAAUAUAUUGAACCGCAUGGUUCAAUAGUGAAAGACGGUUUUGCUGUCACUUAUAGAUGGAUCCGCGCCGCAUUAGCUAGUUGGUAAGGUAACGGCUUACCAAGGCAACGAUGCGUAGCCGACCUGAGAGGGUGAUCGGCCACACUGGAACUGAGACACGGUCCAGACUCCUACGGGAGGCAGCAGUAGGGAAUCUUCCGCAAUGGGCGAAAGCCUGACGGAGCAACGCCGCGUGAGUGAUGAAGGUCUUCGGAUCGUAAAACUCUGUUAUUAGGGAAGAACAAUGUGUAAGUAACUAUGCACGUCUUGACGGUACCUAAUCAGAAAGCCACGGCUAACUACGUGCCAGC
rnacentral:rRNA from 1 species